rnacentral:rRNA from 1 species
UACGUAGGGUGCAAGCGUUAAUCGGAAUCACUGGGCUUAAAGCGUGUGUAGGCGGGUCGUUAAGUGUCUUGUGAAAUCCCCCGGCUCAACCGGGGAAUGGCUGGGCAUACUGGCGAUCUUGAGCAGUCUAGGGGCAGAUGGAACAGACGGUGGAGCGGUGAAAUGCGUAGAUAUCGUCUGGAACGCCAAAGGUGAAAACAGUCUGCUGGGGACUUGCUGACGCUGAGACACGAAAGCCAGGGGAGCGAACGGG